UGCCGAGAAAAGCCUCUAGAUAGAAAAUAGGUGCCCGUACCGCAAACCGACACAGGUAGUCAAGAUGAGAAUUCUAAGGUGAGCGAGCGAACUCUCGUUAAGGAACUCGGCAAAAUGACCCCGUAACUUCGGGAGAAGGGGUGCUCUUUAGGGUUAACGCCCAGAAGAGCCGCAGUGAAUAGGCCCAAGCGACUGUUUAUCAAAAACACAGGUCUCUGCUAAACCGUAAGGUGAUGUAUAGGGGCUGACGCCUGCCCGGUGCUGGAAGGUUAAGAGGAGUGGUUAGCUUCUGCGAAGCUACGAAUCGAAGCCCCAGUAAACGGCGGCCGUAACUAUAACGGUCCUAAGGUAGCGAAAUUCCUUGUCGGGUAAGUUCCGACCCGCACGAAAGGCGUAACGAUUUGGGCACUGUCUCAACGAGAGACUCGGUGAAAUCAUAGUACCUGUGAAGAUGCAGGUUACCCGCGACAGGACGGAAAGACCCCGUGGAGCUUUACUGUAGCCUGAUAUUGAAAUUCGGCACAGCUUGUACAGGAUAGGUAGGAGCCUUUGAAACGUGAGCGCUAGCUUACGUGGAGGCGCUGGUGGGAUACUACCCUAGCUGUGUUGGCUUUCUAACCCGCACCACUUAUCGUGGUGGGAGACAGUGUCAGGCGGGCAGUUUGACUGGGGCGGUCGCCUCCUAAAAGGUAACGGAGGCGCUCAAAGGUUCCCUCAGAAUGGUUGGAAAUCAUUCAUAGAGUGUAAAGGCAUAAGGGAGCUUGACUGCGAGACCUACAAGUCGAGCAGGGUCGAAAGACGGACUUAGUGAUCCGGUGGUUCCGCAUGGAAGGGCCAUCGCUCAACGGAUAAAAGCUACCCCGGGGAUAACAGGCUUAUCUCCCCCAAGAGUUCACAUCGACGGGGAGGUUUGGCACCUCGAUGUCGGCUCAUCGCAUCCUGGGGCUGUAGUCGGUCCCAAGGGUUGGGCUGUUCGCCCAUUAAAGCGGUACGCGAGCUGGGUUCAGAACGUCGUGAGACAGUUCGGUCCCUAUCCGUCGUGGGCGUAGGAAAUUUGAGAGGAGCUGUCCUUAGUACGAGAGGACCGGGAUGGACAUACCUCUGGUGUACCAGUUGUCGUGCCAACGGCAUAGCUGGGUAGCUAUGUGUGGACGGGAUAAGUGCUGAAAGCAUCUAAGCAUGAAGCCCCCCUCAAGAUGAGAUUUCCCAACUUCGGUUAUAAGAUCCCUCAAAGAUGAUGAGGUUAAUAGGUUCGAGGUGGAAGCAUGGUGACAUGUGGAGCUGACGAAUACUAAUCGAUCGAAGACUUAAUCAA
rnacentral:rRNA from 1 species